rnacentral:hammerhead_ribozyme from 1 species
GUCUUGCUGACGAGUUCCAAACAGCGUGAAACCCGGGUCCAGGAU